rnacentral:tRNA from 3 species
GCGGAUGUGGCGGAAUUGGCAGACGCGCUAGACUUAGGAUCUAGUAUCAAUUGAUGUAUGGGUUCAAGUCCCUUCAUCCGCACCA